rnacentral:lncRNA from 10 species
UCCCUUUAUUUUGAGCCUAUGUGUGUCUUUGCACACUGAUGGAGUGUGCUGUAUAUUUUAUCCAACUUGCCAGUCUGUGUUUUUUAAUUGGGGCAUUUAGCCCAUUUACGUUUAAAGUUAAUAUUGUUAUGUGUGAAUUCGAUCCUGUUAUCAUGAUGCUAACUGGUUAUUUUGCACAUUAGUUGAUGCAGUUUCUUCUUUAUGUUUUGGUGUUUUUGUUGUGGCUGGUCCCGGUUUUUCCUUUCCAUAUUUAGUGCUUCCUUCAGGAGCUCUUGUAAGGCAGGCCUCGUGGUCACAAAAUCCCUCAGCAUUUGCUUGUCAGUAAGGAUCUUAUUUUUCCUUCAUUUGUGAAGCUUAGU